AGAUAAAUAGCUGGAAGCUAGAGCUCGCUAGAGGGUCUACGAUUGAGCUAAACAUUUUCUGAUUUCUGGAGAAAGGGGUGGUGUGGGGGUGAGAGAAGGGUAGAGAUUAAGACGUUCCUUCCUUCGGGGCAGUGGUGGGCUUUCCCUCAGCCAAAAAUCUAAGCUUAGCUCUAAAGGAGGCUGCAGUCUUGAUGCACUUUGCAUCCAGAGAUCUCAAAGAACUUUAUGCGUCAUUUAUUGUGAGACUUGUGUAAAAGACUAGUUCGUUACCUGAGGCUUGAGAAUGGGAUGGGGGUAGAUGUCUGAGGCAUAUUUAUACAAUAAUCCAGUUGGUGGGGGAGGGGGGGGACAUAUCGGGUUUAGCAGUUUCCGCUUCUUCUCUGAAGCACCUUCUCACAGUACUCUUAGCAGUGAAAACACGAAAUGACCAAAGAGAGGUUUUUCUUCUUACUCCAAAAUCCAUUCUUAAGCAGCCGGUCAGAUACAUGCAGAGGACAGAGCCCUGCCUGGGAAGGUAGCUUCGGAAAACAAAUUGCCACCUAAAACGAUUGGGCAGGACCAGCUUCUCCCAAAGCUAAAAAUGGUCUCUAGUGUACCAGGAUUUGUGCUGGCCUGCAGUUCGUAGAAUGAAUCUGUUGGAGAUGAUUUAAAAGAACCGUUCCACUGGUUUGAAAUUGAGACUCCAAGCAAGCAGAUUCUUUUCUUCUGGUAUGUAAGCCAGUGGGGGAAAUGGAUGGUACUCCAGCAAAAAUAACCUUCUUCCCAAUCUGCUUUAUAACUCGAAGAGACACCUAGUCAAGUAAAUGAAGAAAACUGAUGUUUAAUCAUAAAGGAGCUUAAUUAAACUGUUUCACUUUAUCCUUUUUAUAUCUCUAUACAAUAAAAUGCAUAUGGUUUUCUUCAUUAUA